rnacentral:rRNA from 1 species
AUUGAACGCUGGCGGCAUGCCUUACACAUGCAAGUCGAACGGUAACGCGGGGCAACCUGGCGACGAGUGGCGAACGGGUGAGUAACGCAUCGGAACGUGCCCAGUAGUGGGGGAUAGCCCGGCGAAAGCCGGAUUAAUACCGCAUACGACCUACGGGUGAAAGCGGGGGACCGAAAGGCCUCGCGCUAUUGGAGCGGCCGAUGUCAGAUUAGGUAGUUGGUGGGGUAAAAGCCUACCAAGCCGACGAUCUGUAGCUGGUCUGAGAGGACGACCCGCCACACUGGGACUGAGACACGGCCCAGACUCCUACGGGAGGCAGCAGUGGGGAAUUUUGGACAAUGGGCGCAAGCCUGAUCCAGCCAUGCCGCGUGCGGGAUGAAGGCCUUCGGGUUGUAAACCGCUUUUGUCAGGGAAGAAACGCUCUGGAUUAAUAUCCGGAGUAGAUGACGGUACCGUAAGAAGAAGCACCGGCUAACUACGUGCCAGCCGCCGCAGUAAGAC